rnacentral:scRNA from 1 species
AACGGUGGUGCAGCACCAGCACCAAUGCCAUC